UUCAUUCUUUUCAGAUUUUAUUUCCUAUCUUAUUUUAGCUAAUCUAUCUUGUCCGCCACAUACAGCCUCCAUGGAAAAAAAAAAGGUCAUAUCAUGAUACUUGCUCUUUUAAUGGCACAGGUGGGAAAUAUGAUCUUUUGGUUCAUUUUCUGCAUUCUUGGUCAACCCAUGUGUGUGCUAUUGUAUUAUCAUGACCUAAUGAAUCGGAAAGGCAAUGCUGAAUUAAGAUGAAACCGACCGACUUGUGCUUUAUAUAUAGGAUUUACCAGAGAUGGGUUUGCUUCCAACAUUUUGUGCAUGAGAGAAAAUGUUACAAGCAAUUUUGGCUAUGCGGGGACUAGUCCCCUGUUGUACUACUGGAUUUUAAUCGUUAAUCAUUAGAGUAAAACUGUAAAUGUAUAAUGCUCAAUCUGUGUAUGCUCUCUUUUCUAUGCAUCAGCAAUCCCCUUUCUGCCCUAUAUUUCAUUUUUGUCAUUUUAUUAUUAGUUUGCCGUCGGUUGUAAUAUUCAGGAAUUAUUUAAAGCUCCUUCCUUGUAUUCUCAAUUUUUCUUUUGAGGGACAUUUCCUACAAAGGAUCGGUUAUAACUUAUUCUCAUAGAUUGACUUCAUAGAUUUGUUUUCAACAAAUUAUUAUAUUAAUAUGUUAAUAUAUUUUUUUGAAAAUAAUAUUAAUUAAUAAAUUUGAUUAAUUAUUUUACUUUGACAAGAUUUAUUCAAUUUUUUAUAUCAUAUUAGGAAUAUACAAAAGAAAUUUUCUUUUUAUGAACACCAAUUCACUUUAUUUCAUAAUAUAAAUAUAUUCUUAAUUAUAUUUAUAAAAAUGGGGAAAGAAUAGAAAAAUAAUUGGUGAAAUUAUUCAAAAAAAAAAGUUUAAGAGAUAAUGUCGAUAACAAAUUAAUGACCUUUUAAAUAUAUAAAUUUAAACGUAAAAUACCAAAUAUAAAUUUGUGCAAACUUCUAAAAUAAAAAAUCUAAACUUUUAAUUAUAUGGUUGUAAUAAAUGUUAUAAUCUUCAAAAAUUUUUAUCUAAAUAUUGCUAUUCAUGUUACAAAGAAAGUAAGUGAGCACAUUUUUUUAUUAUAAAAAAGUUGGCAUGGGAUCGUGGGAAAAAAAAAAAAAAAAAAACUGAAAAGUCAAAAGUUAAGUAUGAAAGCAUUCGCACCCAGUAAAACCUUUUUUUAGUAUACACCACCGACGCCACAGCUUUCUUCAUACGGUCAACGCCACAGCUUAAAAAUAAUUGCACAGACAGAUAGAAAGCAAACACAAAAUAACAAAGCUCCAUUAAAUAUUAAUGGCACAGGUGGGAAAUAUGAUCUUUUGGUUCAUUUUCUGCAUUCUUGGUCAACCCAUGUGUGUGCUAUUGUAUUAUCAUGACCUAAUGAAUCGGAAAGGCAAUGCUGAAUUAAGAUGAAACCGACCGACUUGUGCUUUAUAUAUAGGAUUUACCAGAGAUGGGUUUGCUUCCAACAUUUUGUGCAUGAGAGAAAAUGUUACAAGCAAUUUUGGCUAUGCGGGGACUAGUCCCCUGUUGUACUACUGGAUUUUAAUCGUUAAUCAUUAGAGUAAAACUGUAAAUGUAUAAUGCUCAAUCUGUGUAUGCUCUCUUUUCUAUGCAUCAGCAAUCCCCUUUCUGCCCUAUAUUUCAUUUUUGUCAUUUUAUUAUUAGUUUGCCGUCGGUUGUAAUAUUCAGGAAUUAUUUAAAGCUCCUUCCUUGUAUUCUCAAUUUUUCUUUUGAGGGACAUUUCCUACAAAGGAUCGGUUAUAACUUAUUCUCAUAGAUUGACUUCAUAGAUUUGUUUUCAACAAAUUAUUAUAUUAAUAUGUUAAUAUAUUUUUUUGAAAAUAAUAUUAA
rnacentral:lncRNA from 1 species